UAUCCUAUUCUUUAACAUUUGGUGUUAAUAUAAAAUUACUUGGCAAUGCUUGACAUUUGAAAUAAACAUUUUUCUAUUGUUUUAUUGCAAGUGGUCCAAUUAAUUUUGCUUAGCUACAGUUUGGUCAUAAAUCAAGUGAGUUUAAAGACACUACCAAGUUGUUAGGUGCCCAGAGAAAAUUUCUCCCUUUUAAAAAGGCCAGGUGAUUUUUCAAAUGUAAUCUUGCCCCCAAAGUAAUAUCUGAAUAUCUUUUUGACAUGUCUAAAUAUAUAUAUAUAUAAAGAAAUAUUUGUUAACACAAAAGCAUUUGAUCUAUGUAGAUAAAUGCUAAUAGAUUUAAAAAGCUAAUAUUAACAAAUACCAGAAUACGUGAAGUUCCAUUUUUAAAGUGUUUGAGCUUACAGAAGAGAAACAUUCAUUUUAAAUGAAGUAAAAAAUGCCUUGAAAGUAAUUCUUUAGAUAGUUGCCCAUUGAUUAAAUUCCAAAAACUAAAUAUGUUUUUAGCUUUAAAAUUAUAAAAGCUGUCAUAAACUUUAUAUAUUAUGAAUUUUAAAAUAUGUUUGAGUCUCCUGCAAUAUAGUUUCAUCCCAUUGACAUCAAUUAAAAAUAACCCUAAUAUAUUAUUUUUAUAUUUAUUCCUCAGGUGGAAUGGCUAUUUUAAUAUGCCCAGUGUGGAUAAAAUGUCACAUUUCUGUAACUUUUGACUAAAGAGCCUAUAUUUAUCUAGUUAAUGAAUUUAAAGGAUCUAUCUUUCCCUUCAUAAAAUACCUCUUAUUUCCAUUAAAGCCCCCCAAGUUUAAUUAAUUUAGGAUUUUGAAUGAUUAUUGACAUCCAAUAGUUAUUUUUAAUAUUUGUAUUCUUGUUAUUUCUGGAAGAAAGCCUUUGUGUAGCACUUGGUAUUUUGCAAAGUGCUUUUAAAACAUUCUUACUUACCGUAUUUCAUAGAAGGGAAGGAAAAAUGUAAGGUUUAACAGUAAGCACUUGCAUUGAACAUGGAGGCAUGUGGUAUCAUGAUAUUCUUCACUAAAUUUAGCUGUCCCUAAUCACAGAUCCUAAGGUAAUAUAAUAUAAUUUUAGUGCAUUUCUCCUCAUCAGGAAUGCUGGAGGUGCAUUUUAAGUUUUAAUAAUAAGUGCUAGAAUGACCAAAUUGCAGACUAAUUGUUUCCAUAUUGUACUUAAAAUGAGUUUUUAAAAGUGAAAAAGAAAUGACUAUAUACAAUCAAUGCUAUUUAUUGUACCUCUGGGCCUACUCUUCUAAAAAUUGUAGCUUAUCGAUUUUUCUCUGUCAAGCUUGAACUAAUGUAAAUAAUUGAAAUAAUGUAAAGUUAUAUUUUCAUGUUUUUAUAGAUACAACAUGACAAGAAUACAUAAUGUAAGAGUAUUUCAACUAUGGAUAAUGUUGAUUGGAUAAUGCACAUCUCAGUUACAAGCAGUACUCAUAGUUUAAUAUCCAUGUAACGGUGCAUCAAUAUAUUGCUAUAUAAAUAUGUCUGUGUGCAUAUAAGUGAAAAGUGGUCAAACAAGAGUGAUGACAGCUGUCUAAAGGUUUUUUUAUUCAUUUUAUAUAAAAACUGUUAUGGAAAGACCAAAAUGUUUAUGAACUAUUCUUAUGUAAAUUUACAAUUGUCCUUUACUGUACUUUUUUGUUUACAGUAUAGUACCUUAUUUUCUGCUGUGUUAAGUGGGUGUCAAACUCCAAGAAGACAUACACUUUCUAUAACUUCUAUUGAAGAUAUUGGAAUUUCCAAUUUUUCAUGUGUACUAUGUCAGAAAAUGCUUUCGAUUUUAUUUUUAAAUCUAACAUCGGAUGGCUUUUCCGGAGUGUUGUAAAAACUUCAAUCAUACAUAAAACAUGUUCUUACAAAAGGCAAA